GUCUGGAACUACGUGAACAUUGGUUAAAGGCUUCAGACAGUCCAAGGAGAAAUGCGAUGCAGUUAACAAUUUUAGUUGGGGGAGCAUUUUAUUUAAAGUAAUCACAAAGAUGCAGUAUCUCAUAGUACUGAGGCAGAAGUGGAGGAAAACUUUUUAUUUUUUUCUUAAAGCUUAGAAAAUAAGCUUUCUUAAAGCUUAGAGCUUCUUAAAGAUUUAUUUUUUUUUCUUUUGUAGUUCUAGGCAGCUCAUUCAGUUGAGACUACCGAGUUACGCAGAGAGCAAUCAGUGAGCACAGCGUUACCGAGCCUGCUUUCAGCCCAUUUCUGACCCAGACUUUCUUCGUUUUCCUGGUGUGGCUGUAGCCCGCUCUGCUGCAGCACGAGUGAGGAGUGUAAUGACUUUUUCCCGGCUUUGCUUAGGGGAAACAACUGUCUGCCCAUUCUCCUGGCUGUAUUCACCUGCUCUGUCCUGACGUGUGUGGUCAGUCUGAGCAGAGCCCCUUUCCAAGCCAGAGAAGUGCUGCCAAGUGUGACACAGAGGGCGAGGAGGCAGGUGCUGGUACAGUCCGUACCACUUCCUUCGUAGAAGUCCCAUCCCCAGUUACCUCCGGGUAGGUCCUCCUGCUGCGUCUCUCUCAGCUGUAGCUGUUUUUCUCCUUCAGAUGCAAAGGAUUUGAGAACAGGCAGCAGCAGCUGCCUUUGGUAGCACCAGGGAUACUUGGUGACACCUGUGGUGCAGCACCGAGCUGCUUGGUGCUGCUGACAAGGGCGUUGAGAGGUGCUGUGCUUGCCCUCCUGCAGGGAGGGCAGGAGUGGGGACGUUAGGUUGUGGUGGCCGCUGUCCUCUGUCGUAGCGUGGCUGCGAGCUGUGUGUGUGUCAGGGGAGUGCUUCCCCCAGUACAGGAACUGCUUGCUCCCAAGCAUACUUGCAGUCACACCAGCACUUCUACCGACCUUACUGCCCGUGUACUGAAUGUUUAAAACCCCACAUAAAGCGUGCAGGAAGGGCUGCACCAGACCUGCCCCUCAAGGGCCCUGAGCACCCGGUGCCUGACGGGCAGCCCAGGUUCAGGUGGGCUCCAGGCCACGGCCAGCACAGCUGAGAUGCGGGACGAGCCCUUGGCUCUCUGCUCUCAGGAGAGCCGGGGAAAGGGAGGUGUGAGCCAGAGGUGAAGGUGUCUGUGGUGCUGCUGAUCUGAGAAGGCCGGUAGGACGUGGGUCGUGGUUUGUCAGAGCAGCUCACAGCCUGUGUGUUUGCAGAGCUUUUCUCUGGUCUCCUGCCUGUGGCUUUGCCUCCUGGGGCUUUGUCUCUGUCUCCAGUGCCUGAUGUGUUUUCCAGCAAAUAGCACAUGUUUGCUGGCACAUGGACCUGUUUGUCUCCUGGAAACAAAACCGGUCACCCACCAUUCGAAUAACCAAGAGACAAAAUCUCCCCUAAAAAUGAGAAAUCAGGUCCCCCGUGCAGCCCUGCUGUGCUCCGUGGUAACACGCGCCUGCCUGCCCCGUUCGGCGCCCAGCCGUGGGAGCAGCGGCACGCUCAGCGGCAGGGCUCUGCAGUUAGCACGUGUUGAGGUCAGGCCACGUGGAACUGAAUGCCGUUACUUUUGGAAGAACAGAGCUAAAUAUCAGUGCUUUCUUUUCCCUUAAAAUGUAGAGACAGCUGGAGUUGGAUGUGAUGUUUGGGAAUAUGGAGAACGUCUCUGAGCUGCUUUUUCAUAAACCUUUUUGGAGAACAGCUAUCGAACCUUUAGAAGGUUCCUCUGCAGAUCACCUCCUUCAGAAAGAUCCCUUGUAGCUACCUUAGGGCCCGUGGCGUGCAGGAGGGGUGUGGGACCACGCUCUGACCCUCCCGGGCUGAUGCUGGUGCUGUCGGAGCUGGCGGCUGUUGCAGUUGGUGAGAAUUAACCAUCGUCACCUGGGGAUGGAAGGCGGACUACAAAGGAGGAUUCGUGUCGUUCCCGGACGCAGAAUUCUCUUCUGCAGUUUAAUGAUUUGUUUUAAUGGCACGUAAACUGCCGGAUUGCAGAGCAGUGCUCCAGAGAUAAGCCAUGCACACACAGUCAGAGUUCUCCCUGGUCCUUCUGGUGAUAAAAGACUGCAUUAACGUAGGAUAAGGAUUACGGCACCUGCAGUAAUCCACUUACUUCUGGGACUGCACAGCACACCUGCGUGGCACGAAGCAGGAUCUGACAUCUCAUUCUGCACAUGGAGCUGGAGUUGCUGUGGGAGUUAUCCCAUGUUCUGGAUUUUGGUAACAGAAGACUGCCCAGCUACUGCCCAUUUGUGAUUAAAGACAUUUGGAGAAGCCCUCCAAA